rnacentral:rRNA from 1 species
ACGUCGACACUACGGGAGGAGCAGUGGGGAAUAUUGCACAAUGGGGGAAACCCUGAUGCAGCGACGCCGCGUGGAGGAAGAAGGUCUUCGGAUUGUAAACUCCUGUUGUUGGGGAAAAAGAGGAUGGUACCCAACAAGGAAGUGACGGCUAACUACGUGCCAGCAGCCGCGGUAAUCUGAGCGGGCUGGCAAGGC